rnacentral:rRNA from 1 species
CACGUAGGGCGCAAGCGUUGUCCGGAAUUAUUGGGCGUAAAGAGCUCGUAGGCGGUCUGUUGCGUCCGCUGUGAAAACUCGGGGCUUAACCCCGAGCCUGCAGUGGAUACGGGCAGACUAGAGGUAGGUAGGGGAGAAUGGAAUUCCCGGUGUAGCGGUGAAAUGCGCAGAUAUCGGGAGGAACACCGGUGGCGAAAGCGACUUCCUGGUCGAAUACUGACGUUCAUGUGCGAAAGCGUGGGGAGCAAACAGG